GCUAAGGUAGCGUAAUCAGUUGUUUUUUAAUUGAGGACUAGUAUGAAAGGUUAAACAAAUUAGUCAUGUUUGACAGACUUAAUAGAAAAUUAAAGUUAAGGUAAGAAUUCUUUAAUUGUUUAGGGGACGAUAAGACCCUAGAAGCUUUAAAAAAUAAAAAUUAUUAUAAAAAAGAGUAUUUUUUUACUGGGGCGGUUUCAGUAUUUAACCUACUGCUAUUUUGGCGGAUCCUUAAUAUAAAGAUAUGACGGUUAAGUUACUCUAGGGAUAA
rnacentral:rRNA from 1 species